rnacentral:lncRNA from 1 species
UGUUGUCAUCAAUCUUGAGUCGAUGUCGAGCUAGCUUAUAACACCAACUUAAUCAAAUACAUUAUUAAUAUAUAUAUACACACAAAUGAUGGAAGUAAUAAAGUGUACAUAAUAAAAUAAAAAUGUUAAAAAAAUUAGUUGGGUAGGAAAUUAAAGGUUUUACUAAUGUAAGUUCAAAUCCCUAUUAUAUGCUUAUUUUUAUUAUUUUUAAAUAAAAAGACUAAAAUAUCCUCGAAUAAUAUAAUUUAUUUUAAUUACGAAAGGGUAUGUUCAUAAUUUCUAUAACCAAGUUGGUGAUCUGGUUGAGGGUGACACUAACUCAAUUAAGAGCUUAAAUAUUAAUAUAGAUGUCUUGUAUGAGUUUGACUCAAUCCGGCCCAUUUUAUGAAACCUUAAUUCAAACUCUAAUAUUGUUAUCUACAACUUUCCAUAACAUAAUACAUAAUCAAUGUCGUUUAAAAAAGUAACACAUGCCCGUAACAUUUAAUAAAAAAAUUGUGAUAUGGUGUUACACAUAUUUCGAUUUUGAUAUGGUGUUACAUGAGAGUCCAACAUGAAGAAGUUUUAGGGUUCCAAAUUGCCGGAAGUAAAAACUUUUGAUCCUUUAUUCCAUGAGCAUUGAAGCUUCCACCAGUGUGGGCAUCAAUAUGGACCUUUCCGGGGUUUCCUGGGAAAGCGCCACUUCCAAAGAUGGCUUUGCAAGCCGUGCCGACACCGAUUGAAUUCUUAGGAGGUCCAUCGUAGAAGCCGGUGUUUAACGGGUUAGUGACCGUAUCGGCCAACGUUGUCGCCAAGGCAAUCACCAUCGCAUCAGCUGCCUUGUCCAGGUUUGGUGGUUGUAGGAAGAAAAUGGAUUUUGGACCGGAAUCAAUUUGGAUGAAAGGCCAUUCACAUUUUCUAGGGCACUCGAGUUCUGGAUUCCCGAGUAUGAUGUAUGGUGUGAUGUUACCUGUCAUUUUAAAAUAGUGAACAAAUUAAGUAAUAAAUUUAUCGGUGAAGAUAUUUGUGGGUUGGGUCAGGUUGCAACCUCAAAAUAUUCAUAUCUCUUACUCAACCUCAUUUGAACCGACCCAUGUAACUUAUUUCACUGAUUAAAAAUUAUAUUUACUAAUUAGCUUUAAAUAAAAAAAAUAUCAAUUCGGAAAAUGGAUAUAUUAGAGGUAAUAUCCAUGUCCAUCACAAAUAUUAAUUCAAAUAUCUGAAUCUACAAUAACCUGAAUCUGAACAAAUAAAAGAACCUAAAUCAGAUAUCCUCGAAUAUUUAAAAGAGUCGGAAGCUUACCGACGAUCCCAUUAUAGGCACAUGUUUUAGUGCAAACUCCUUCCAUAUUAACAUCCUUUGCAGUAAUUAUAAUGGGAAGCAUGUUUUUCGCUUCCUUUGUGUGCUCUUUCACAAUUUUUGUAAUAAAAUCACCAAUGGUCAAAUUCCUCCCAUACUUAUAGGAAGUAUCAUUGAUUUGUUUAGCCACAUUCACAAUGAUUUUAGGGACUUUAUCAUGUUUAGCUCCGGGCAACAUGGCUUGGUAGCUUUCCACCAUUUUCCACCACUUUGUGACUUGAGGUUGGAGGUUGAAAUUGCCAUCGGUGUUCAACGAUUUUAAAAAAUUGGCGAUGGCUUCUUUUUUGUUGAGAGAUACGUUGCCGUACCAAAUGAGGGCUACGUUGAUGGUUUCGAUGAGGAUAGGGCCACCGUGGUAGACGAUUUUCGCUCGUGUUAGGACAGAAUGUCUGGUCAGUUGGCCAUUAUUUAGGGAAGGAAGGAAGGAGAUGGAGAAGAGGGCAAGAGAGAUGAUUCGGAUCGGAAAAGAAGACAUUUUCGCCAUCAAUUUUAAAAUGAAUUCUUAAAAAAAUUGAAUGGAAUUGAGAUUAAGAUAUCUAAUUAAGAAUAAAAAAUCGAAUAUCUAAAUAUGAUAAGCUUAAUUCAAGGAAUUAAAUGUUGGGUUGAUCUUUAGAAUUUUCUUAAGAUAAAAAAACAUGUUAUCAAUGGUAAAUUAAUUUCGAACACUUCAAUUUUACUAUUGAGUGGAUAUCCUUAAAUUCCGAAUAUUUUAUGUUCCUUAUAUUAUAAAUAUAUUUCAAUUAAAUAUUGGUAUUAUGGGCUCUUUAUAGAUUUAGUUUCUUUCUAAUCCCUAUAUUCUCUUUUAAGUGUGCAUUUAUUUCACCAUAUAUACACCUAAAUAUUUUUUACCCCACAAUUUUGUAAAGAAAAGAUAAAAAAAUAAUAAUAAUAAUAUUUGUUCAACUAUACGAAAAAUGCCAAAUUAUGACAUGUUUAAUAGUUAAAUUAUUAAGUAAACUACACUAACAGAAGUUGUUUCUAUUUUGAUCAAUCCAGAAAUUGAUUACUUCACUGUUAAAUGGUCACAAAAUAUUGACCGUAAAAUUAGGGUAAACUAUUCAUUAAUCACUCUAAAUAGAGAUCAUUCUUAUUUUGGUCACCCAAAGACAAUAUGUGAAAAUGCAUCAUUAGUUUUUCCUGUUACCAUUUAACCGUGGAAUGACCAAUUUGAUCAAUUUCUUUUCAAGAGUGAUCAAAUUAAUCAAAAAACAAUUUGAAAUAACAAAAAAAGGAACAACCACUACUUAAGAGUGACUAAUGGGGUAAUUAACCCUAAAUUAUUUGAUAAAAUUAACGGGAAAAAAUUACCUUUGGAGUUUGGCAUAAAUAUACAUUUCAAAGAGUUGAGAAUUAGAAAUAAUCCACAAAGAAAACGCAUAAAACAGGGACUUUCCACAGAAUUUGACCAAAAAAAUUAACACUCAAAAACUAGAAGAUUAAUUAUAAAUAUUUAACUUCAGAAGAAAAACAGAAAUUAGAAUUACAUAUGUAAUAUUUACAAACAAUCUUGAAAUAAUAUGUACAUUAUUUUUUAUGCCACAGACAAAAUUUUAACACCAAAUAAAUAAGUUCUAGAGCAAGGGAAAAUGGGAAGAAUUACAUAUCUGUAGUCUGUACUGAGUUUACAUUUUCCAGGUCUUGGGAACUAACAGCAUAUCCUUCUACUGUUACACAAGCAUCAAUGAACCAAAAGCUUCAUUAACUUACAAUGCAGUGAAAAAAAGAAACCAACAGUUGUAUUGUUAUGUAAAGAAGACAAAUCCCGACUUUGAGAAGAAUAUUAAGGAUAUUGAUAGGUGGUUCAAGAGACUCUUGCUACAAUCUAUCACGAUAAUGCAUUUUAUUGUUUGAUCAUGUUUGAAAGACUGCAACAAGUUUCUCUAACUCAAGGACACCUUUUCUGUACAAAAUACUUCAAACCAGAAUCUAAGAAAAGUAUAAAAGCAAAAAUUUUCCUAGGGCAAUUUACCUAUUGUAAUUAGAUGAACACAGUAGAAGUAUCAUAAGGCUCUUGUAUUAAGUCAGAUUGCAUUUUGCCCCUUCUACUAAAAAAAGGGGCAAAUUAGUCCUUGUACGUUAAAUCAAAGAGCAAGUCGGUUCUUUCUGUUAAAAAUUUCAUCCAUUUGUACUGUUAAAAACUGGUAUAGUUGAUAGAAUAACCAGACAGUGGCAAGUGGCAUGCCACGUGUACCUCAUACUGAUGUACAAGGACAGUUUUUAAUAAUAGAAAUAGAUGAAAAUUUUAAUAAAAUGACCGGUUAGUUUUUUUAUCUAACAUACAAAAACUAAUUUGCUCAUUUUUUGAGUAGAAGGGACAAAAUGUAAUUCAACUUCUAGUACAGGGGCCUCCAUGGUACUUUUACCUAUAUAACAGAAAGAAUAGCUACUAUAAAUCGAUGUAUAAAUUAGAAUGGAAAACAAAAUGUUCAACUCAUCUAAUGAAAUAUGUGAUGACUGCAUCAUUUUAGGUAAACUUUACCUUAAAUCAUUGGAAGUCAAAGAACAUUAGCAGUCAGGAAGCGGUGAUUAGCAACAGCUUCUGCUAUUGGCCGUUUUCGAAAGUCGGGAUUCAGCAUUGCCUGCAACGAGAUGAAAAUUUGUUAGAGCCAAAUUGCGAAUAAAGACGAAAGGUAACGUGGCUGUGAACCCCUUCCAUGUAAAAGAACCCAUAUCAUAUAUACUAGCCUGUAAAAAAGUUCAAUAAAAUUAAGACAUUUACACCAGGUACUAUCUGGUUAUUAAUCUCCUCUACUUGCUAACACCUUCCUUGACCAUGUUUUAGGCAAAUUAACAUUCCUACCGGUCAUAAGAAAGAUGAAAAUAUGUAAUAAAACUUUCAUAUUGCAACUUACCUGAAGUAGUUCCCAACCAGCAGCAUCACCCAGAUCUAGAAAUUUGACAGCUUCUAACAACCGGUCAUCUGCCAAACAAUACCUGCACAGAACAAGUGAAACAAAGGAUAAAAUUUGAACACUGAUUAUACUAGCUGGCUAAAAUGAAAAUUUGAAACUCAUUUCCAAUUUCUCACAAGAUAUAUCGAGUAAAUGAGAGAUAAUCAUUUUAUUUUCCUUCAAAGGUGUCCAAUAGAACCUACGCCUAGCAGAAACUUCUAAACUUUUACUUCAGAAAAAUUAGAAAAGAAAAGUGCAACCAAUUUUCGCAGUGUAAAUAAAUAAUAAAAAAAAGUUCUUUCAACUUUUAUAUGUGACAGCUUCCUGUUUCAAGUCAUUAAGGAGGAGAUCAGUUUUUACAGUUUAUAGAACUUUCGAAGGCUGUCAACAAUAUAUUAGGUAGAAGUACCAUAGAAACUCCCGUACUAUAAGUCAGACUGCAUAUUACCCCCCUUUACUCGAAAAUUGGGGAAAUUAGUCAUUGUACACUAAAUCAAAGAGUAAAUUGGUUCUAUUAAAAACUGGUUCCUAUAUGUUAGCAUGAGGUACAUGUGGCACAUCACAUGUAAUUGUUUGGUUAUUUCGUCAACUUCGCCAGUUUUUAACAGUAGAAAUUGAUGAAAUUUUUAACAGAAAGAAUCAGUUUACUCUUUAAUCAAAUGUACGAGUACUAAAUUGCCCUUUUUUUAAAAAUGAGGCAAAAUGCAAUUUGACUCAAAGUACUAGAGCUUCCACGGUAGUUUUACCCAAUAUAUUAUGUAUAGGCACUAAACACUGCAUUGUCCUAUAAACUGGAUUGUAUUAUGAUCAUAUGAUUAAAAAAAAAGGAACAAUAUGCCCCUCAGUACAAUCAGUACUUGUUUUGAAGAUUUGAAAGGCUUACUCUCUUGUAGCCAUGACAUCAAGUUUGAAAGUGCUUUCCAAAAGCCGCUAGCAAUACAUGAAACCACAAUUAGUUUGGUCAGAGAACUGCUCUUCUUUUUGGGGGAGGAUGCUUACGUACAAUGGGCCGAACCAAAACAUUUUAAAAGGAAAUGCUGAUAUAGUUGCUUACUUGCAAUGAAAGGCUAUCCAUGAUCCCUGCUUCACAAAAUGGAACAAAAGCCAAGUAUGCAAAAAGAAGACCUGCUUCAUAGCUGUCUAGAGACAACAAAAGAAUUAAUUUCUGGUAUAAACAGCCAAUAAGGAGUAGCGAGAAAUCAAAACAUUACAUGUCAUCCGCAAUUCCGAAGGAUCUUCUCUCCAUAGGUGUAAAUGCACCGGCAGAUGAUGCCCUUCUCCAAAGAUCCUCUGAGAAUGUGCUAGGACCUUCUUCCAAAGAUGAAAAGCUAUAAAGCAAAAUGCCAUAUCAUUGGAUAUGAAUAAUACUAUGUUGAAAAAUUAGAGCAGUUCCAAGCAAUAUUUAAUGGUGUGUUUCCCUUUUUUUGGGAGAAUACUCUAAUUAGCAAAAAAGGGAACCAAGAUGUAUUUCUAUAUCUUUUAAAUAGAUGAUAUUAUACAUGCUCAUGUAAAGGAUCCUUAACCUUAUUCUCAACAAGAUUGGUAUCUUUUUUGCACCCUUCAUAAGUGUCAUCUUAUAGCUUUUCGGUCAAACAGCCAAUCAUUGUGAUAUCAUGCAAAAGGGGCUUAAUCUAAAAUAUUCAAAAUUUCUGUAAAAACUAUGUCCCUUCUGGCAUUAUAUCACUUCUGGUAGCACACAAUGAUUUUGCGAUGGCCAUCUAGAAGAAAAGCUAAACAACAACAUAGCAGUACCUGAUGUCAACAGAAAAGGCUAGAUCUCGAAGCUUUGGAACCAAAUAAACGGCAUCUCUUUCUACUAUUGUACUGCCAUCAUUCAGUGAAAAGUUUGAUUAAACUUCGAAGUGAACAGAGUAAACUGAUUGUCUUUUAAGGAGGACAAACAAAUCCAGACUUCAAAAGAAAAUGGUCAAAAAAUAAUAACAUAUACUUGAGUAUAACAGAAGCCGGUCCAAGACUCUGGUGUAAUCUUUCAUGAUUAUGCAUGUAGGCUAAACCAUUCAUAGCACCCUGAAAUAGCCUAAUGACAAAGUAUGUUCUGCGCUUAAAUGCUUGCUCUUGCUCAAAAGGAUUCCAAGGCUUUUCUUGUAGAGAACGGGCUCUUGAUAUUUUCUCACUAGUUGCUUUUGCAAAGUCAGCCGCACUAUAUUUACCAUUGUCACGGAAGGCUAGCCACUGUACAGAACAAAGCUACAUCAUUUGUAAAAUUACUUAAAACAAAAAGCAACUUGACUACUCACAUAUAGUUGAUAUGAAAUGACAGACCUGCUCUCCUGUUUUUGUCUCAAAUCCACCAAGAAGUAAUAGAAGAUUCUUACAUAUACCUUCGGAACUGCUCUGUUAAAAAGGUGCAUAAUCAAGAUAAAUCAGUACCAUUCUUUUGUAAUUGUCAAAAGAAACACAAAUUUACUUUUGUAAUUGGUUGAAAUUUAUUGUUGCACUUCAUUUUACCUGGAGGAAAGCAUGGGCAUUGAGUUCAUUGGCCGCCAUCAUAUCAGCCUCAAUACCGGCAGCUCGUUGUCCUGGAUAAACCUUCAUAGCCAAUGGUUUUUGUAAAGUAAAUAAAACUAACUAAAUGGUUAACAACACCAAAUGUAGUCUAAGAGCCUAAUUUGUGACUCGGUUUAGAUUGCAUUUUCUUUCUUUGCGGUUCUUUGUAAUGGUAGAUGAGCUAAUACUAGAGAAAAUUUAGUAGACAAGCUCAACCUCCAAUCAUUUAAACUCCACAUAAUUAUACCAUGGUACAUUAAUUCAAAAGCAACUCCCUGCGACAAGUUAUUGACAUCCUUUCUUUCUAUUUGAAACUGGAGAAUCCUAAUAACUUGGCCCAGCAAAAUUUUACCUAUGAAGAACUCUAAGGCGUAAUCAGGAUUGAAAUUUAAAAUAGAUGUUAACUAUGUAACAUACUUACAUUUUUCUUCUACAUCGUGAAAAUAUGGAUGUUAAAAUAGGUGAUUAUUGAGGAAAAUAUAUAAAUAAUAUCACCUUAAAGAUCACUGGUGUGCCUUUAAAUGGACCCUGAGCUAUUCUUCCUUCAUAAAGCCUGCAGAUGGACUGCCAUGAAUAACAUCAGUAGGAAGAUGGAAAAGAUUCUGCAAGUUUCAUCAACGGUAGCAAACAUAUUUAUUGUGUAGAUGUGCAUGCAUUUAUCCAUGGAAAUGCACCUGAUUUUUACACUCCCUUCUCCAACAUCUUGAACUCUCAAUUGCCCCAAAUCUCCAGAUGAAAAUUCAAGAUCAGCCCCUGACUGGAACCCUGAAUAGCUGGAAAAUAAAAAAUUAAACCAUUUUCCAUGUCAUAUUUCAAUAAGAGUUGUAUCCAAAUCCAGAAUUUAACAAGAAAGUACUAAUAACACUUUCCAGUUGCAGAUUCAAAACCUCAUUUAGUCCCCGAAAAACACAAAAGGGAAAUAAAUAAAGAAAGAAUACACUUUUGAGAAUGAGCAGAGCUUAAAGUUCCUUUACUAUAUACCUGCAAGGCUAAUUAACAAAUAUAUCUAACACAAUGAGGUUCACACUUCAGAUAAGUAACUGAAUGUCAUCUCCAAGGUUUGAACAUGCAUUCUCAAGGUGAGAAUGCAAUGUGCCUCAUCACUGCACUCAAAACUUAGUUACUAAUAAACCCCAACUUGUCAUACCUCAAACAAAAUUAAUAUUUAUCAUUUUUCCCAUACUUUCUUGGAAAAAACACACACAUACACACACGAAGUCCAAAUUUUCUAUUCUUUUGUUGUCUUUUCUUAGUUUCCCAGAAAAUAUAACCCAUUGACUAAUGCUUAGUACCUAAAAAUGAUCAAAUAACAGAACCCCAAAACACUAAACAUCCACACCCAAAUGCCUGAAAAUUACAGAAUGAAAAAACCGAAUUUACCUAGUAACAUUCAUGAAACCAUAGCUACCAAUUAGUCUCCCAACUUCGAAUGAUUCAGGACUGGUAAUAAGACUCGCUGUACAGAGUGAACUCGACCGAGUUCGACUACUCACCCAGGUGCUCAAUCGCGGUUUUUUCGAAAGGAAAAAACUGGGUUUUUUAGAAAGGGAAAAAGGAAGAGAAGUAGAACAAGAGAAGAAGCAAUGGGGUGUUGUAAAGAUCAUGGCUUGUUGGGUUUUCACCUUAUUAAAGACUCUUCUUUUUAACUGAAAAAAAGUUUGUAUAAAGAAAGAGGUAAUGAACCUGGAAAUGGCGGGGCAAAACGAUAAGAUUCUUUUUUUUUUCUCUUUUUUUUUGGGGGGUUAACAUUAAACCAUAUUACUCAUCUUUUUUUUUAAUAUUUUUUUUUGGUAAAAAAAGGUUAAUAUAACUUUUAGUCCCUAAACUUAUCAAUUAAUUUCACUUUGAUACAUAUUUUUUUUGUCGACUUUUGUAACUGAUCUUGACAAUUAGUUCUAUUUUGGUUCUUUGAAUUUGAAAAAUAUAAAAUUUUGAUAACGUGACAUUCUUUAACAUUAUCAAAUCUAGAUAAAUUCUAAGUUCAAGGACAAAGACAAUGACAAAGGGUUAGUAAAGCCCCAACGCCUAAAAUGUGAAAUUCAUGACCCUUUAAAUUUUAUAAAAUUUUAAUUUAAUAAAUGGUAAAAUUGUACUUUAACCUCUAAAAAUAAUAAAAUUGUGGUUUAGUUUAGCUUUCAUAAAAAUAUACGAUUUAAUUCUAGCCUAUUCAAAAAAAAUCCUGGUUUCACCCCUGUACGAGAAUCUAAAUGAAAUUAUUUUUUAAGUUCUAGUACUAAAAUGGACUUAAUUGUCAAAUUCAAAGACUAAAAGUUAUAUUGACCAAUUAGAUAAUUUUGAUGAUUUUACUAUCUAUACAACUAUAUAUAAAAGGAAGGUGGCGUUACUUAUAUAACACGUGUAAUAAUUUUUUUAAUAUGAGAAGAUAAUAACUAAGUUUUAAUACUAAUUCCUCUAGUUUUUAUGGCUAAAUUUCAGUUUUGAUCCUUAUAUAUUACUCAGAUUUCGAGAAGAUAAUUGCUAAAUUUCAAUUCUAAUCAUUCAAAUUUUUAUGGUUAAAUUUUAAUUUUGAUCCCUAUAUUUCACUCAAAUCUAUAACCCUACCCCUAAGGCCUUCCUGACAUGACACAUGACAAAUUUUUUUUGGACAUGACAAGAUAAUGGCUAAAUUUCAAUUCUAAUCCCUCUAAUGUUUAUGGUUAAAUUUCAGUUUAAUCCUUAUAUUUUAUUCAAAUUUGAGAUUUAAUCUUUAUACUUUACUUUUAACAUAAAUUGGUACUUACACUUUUAUAAUAUCAUUGGUUAAUCUAAAUACUUUAUUUUGAUUAAAAUGCUAAUGUGAAUUUUUAAAAUUGUUAAUACUAUUAAAAUUCUCUAUUAAAUUCAGGUAAAUUACAAUGUUAUUUUUUGUUACAUGGAUAUCAAUUAAGUAUUUGUUUUUUUAAGUUUCAAAAUGUCACACCAACAAAUUUACCAAAAGAAUUUUAAUGGUGUUUACAAACGAACCUAAAUUUUCAAAUUCGAAAAGUAAAAGGACAAAAUUCUCGAAAAUAAAAGUAUGAAUAUUAAAUUCUACAUUUAGGAAGACUUUGAGCAUUUUGUAACAUUUAAAAUUUUACUCUAUAAUUUAGCAAAAAAUAAAUAAUUAACCCAUCGCGAAGCGUGAGUGAAAACCAUACUAGUUUUCAUAUAAUAACCUCCUUUCAAUAUCAUCAAAAUACAUUAUUUUGUUCUUAUUUAAAAUAAUAUUAGAAUAUCACUAGCUUUCGAAAAACAAUAGAUUAAUGUUUUCAUCAUAAGUGUAAACUAUAAUCAAAGUUACUAAAUUAUUAGUAAAUUUUUAUUUUGGUCACUCGACAUCAAAAAGUUACAAAAUAAUGAUUGAACUAUUCGAAACUUUUUAUUUACUAAUAGUUUAAUAACCUUAAGUGUAAUUUACCGUUUUAAUUUCUAAGGUUCACUUUCAAAAUUUGCAUCCAUAACCAAACCAAGAAGAGUUGAAUUUCAAUAUCCUUCUCAAUAAACCACUUGAUCGUGUUAAAAGAAUAUUAUAAGAAUAUGUAAAAAUAAAAUAAAUUAUUAGGGUAUAUAAAUAUAUGGAAAAAAAAACACAAAUAUAAAUAUAUAAAAUUUUAUCUUAGCUAAGUAAAUUAACCCAAAACAAUAUUCAAAAUUAUUUUUCUUUACUAAUUAUUUAGUGUAAUGGUAAGUCACAUUGCAUUUCUAAUGGGAGACGUUAGUUUGAAUAUUGGAGUCAACAUUAUUGGGAGAGACAAUCACGAACCUUAAACAUAGACUGUAAAAUAGACUUGAAAAAAAAAUUUCUUUACUUUUUUUUCUUUGGAUAUUCUACAUCUCUGUUUUAUGAUUAAUUGUUGGAACUGUUUUUUAGUUCAUGGGAAUGACCCCACCUUUUGUUGCCCACUACUUUCACACAUUUGUUUGUGUGAUAGUGGGACAUGUAGUUGAUGAGUUUUUAUAGAGAACCACUACUAUAAAUACCAACUUAGGUUAAGGUCCCUAAACAUUAAAAAAUAAAAAAUAAAAAUAUUCCAUCUAGUGUUUUUAAUUUUUCAUACAGUUAAAUUUGACGUCCUAGUUGGUGGUUUGACGUGCUUGUCAAUGGUGUCACAACAUUUGGAUUUUGGCAUUUGGUUCAGACAAUGACUGGAGGUAUUUACCUUCUAUCUUUUUCCCUGCUCUAUAUUGUAAAUCAUUAUUUAUGCUAACAUUUAUGUAUGAAGUUUGUGAUUCCUCCAACAAUAUUAUCUCUAAGUUUCAAACUUACGUCUCUUCUUAAAAAUACAAUGUACCUUCCCAUUAUCCAAUACUUACUGAUAUUAUUUUUCUUUAAUAAUAUAAUUUAUCUCAACUAACUUCAAUUUAAAUUUUAAUCACAUUACAUAUGUGUCAGAAUAAGCCAACUUCUCAAUCUUUAAUUAAGAGAUCUCAUGCAAUUGGUAUUGCUUUAAUGGUAGGUAGGUUACAAUCAAUAUUAUAAUUGUUUAUGAUAUUAAAUAAUUAAAUAUAUAAUUAUUAUAUUUAGUUAAUAUAAUUUAAUAAAAAUAUAAAUAGAAAAAAAAAUAUUUGGUAGAUUAUUGACAUUUUUAUUAUAUAUUAAAUAUAAAUAAAAAAUUUUAAUUAUUAUUUAAUCGAAAUGUAAUUCUAGUUUUAUUAUUUAAUACAAAUAUAAUUUUAAUAAUUUGAAGUUUUUAUUAUAUUUACACAUAUUUUAAUCUAAUGCCUUUUAAGAACAUUUUUAAUCUUAGUAAACAUAUAAAUAAAUAUGCUAAGUUGGCAAAAUUAAUACAAAGUAUUAACAAUAUUAAUUAUUAGAUUAUAAUUUUUGGGGAGAUAUCCAUUUACAUCAGUGUAAAACUAACAUGUUUUUACACGCUUUCAUAACUUUUUCUAUGAUUGAUGUUUUAACAAUUCAACCGUUAAGUUUAUCAAUAUAAUUAUAUUUAUCAUGCAUGUAAAAUUUUGAAUCGAUCCAAUAUCUCUAUUAUAUCGAUCUGAAAUAUUGUUUAUAUUAAUAUAUAUUUAAUUGUUGAAGUUUUGCUUUACAUAAAACAAAUAGCUAAUAUAAAUUUCUUUACUUCAAACUUGACUUGCAUGAUCUUCAUGAAUGAAACAUGAAAUAUAACAAUUGGAUUUUUUAAAUGUCAAUAAUUGAAAAAGUUACAAAAGAGUUUUAAACGGUGUUAGUUCUAUUCUGUAUAAAUGAAUCCUUUCCCAAAAUUUUUAAAUAAAAAAGUAAGAAAAUUUAAUUUUUAUGGAACUUAAAUCUUGAACUUUACCAAAAUACAAGAAUACACAACAUAUUUUGACAUUUUUAGAAAGACUAACUAUGGUUUAGUCCAUCUAUUAUGCUAAAAUUAGAGAUUUAAUCUCUAUUUUUUAAAUUGUCAUUAUUUGAUCCUUUACUUUUAUAAUGUUAUAUUGAUAUAUCUAAAUUAAUAACAUCGUUGUUUGUUAUCGUUAAAGUGGUUAUGUGAAAUUUUUUUUUAUUGAUAAUCUAUUAUACAAUUAGGGUUACAUGAAAAUUUGAUCAACUAUGUUCAAUUAAUAAUAAAUUUACAUAUUGAUCGAAUCUUAAAUUUACUUUUUUUUUUAAAUCUAUGACGUCACUUUAAAGACAAUAACCAAUGCUUUUUACAAGCAUCAAAAGAGAUUAAGUCUAAAACCAUAUAAGCAUGAAGGAAGUGUGAGGUAAGUGGUUGAGGCACCACAUAAGCAUGUCCCAACAAUUACGUAAUUAACAAUGUUUCCCUUUAUAACACCACCCGAAAAAAUUCCCAUGAAAAAUUUACUCAUCUCAUCACCCCCAAAUGACCAUCAAGCUGAUGGCAACUCACACAAUACUCACAAUGUUUGCUCUUCUAAUGGCAGCACAAUUCAAAUCAAUAUCUUCAACGAACCUUCCACCAAAGGAUGAUCAAGAUCUCCGUCUUGCCAUGGAAGAGAUGCAAAAAGCCAAUUACUUCACCUUUGUAAUGUUGCUCAACAUGUUGCCCCUCGACCCAAAGUUCCUUGCUAACGUAACUUUUUUAAUGCCCAAUGAUCGGAUGUUGUCAAAAACGGUAAUCCCAGAUAACGCGUUUUCCAGCUUCUUGCAUCGUCAUUCAAUCCCUUCACCGUUGAUUUUCGAGCAUCUUUUAUAUAUCCCGACGGGUUCGGUUCUUCCCAGUUUAAUGCCGGAGUACUUGAUGAAUGUCUCGAAUGGCGGUGGUCGAAGAACUUUUGUCCUCAACAAUGUUAAAAUCAUUAGCCCGAAUAUAUGUACUGUCGGGUCGUCCAUCCGGUGCCAUGGUAUCGAUGGGGUGUUAAACCCUGAAAGUAAUAUAUCUCUACAUACUUGCUCUAACACCAUGGUUCCUGUACCACCACCACCUUCUCUGGUGGCCCCACCACCUUUAUUGCCACCACCACCUCCAUCACCAGUCCCAUUUUUUUCUUCCCCUGAAGAUGAUUUUCCGGUGCCUGCCCCAUUACCGGCUGAUAGUAGCCAACAUAUUUCUGGGUCUUCAAAGUUAUCAUUAGGUAGAAAAAUGUUGAAAUCA